CUUUUCCUUUUUUAAUCCAGAUAAUUAACCUGUCUUAGUCAGCUUUCCAUUGCUAUUAUCAAACUAAGCAAAAAAGAACAACUUAGAGGAAGAACAGUUUAUUCCAAGUUCACACUUUCAGGGGUCUCAGUCCCUAGAUGUCUGACUUCACUAUUCUGGGCCCAACAUGAAGUAGCACAUGGGGGAAGGACUCAGCAAAGGAAAUCUUCUCAACUCCUGGUGGGUCAGGAAGCGGGGGGGGGGGUUUCCUCCUCUCUCAUGCACAGGGAAAGUGCACCCUUCUAGGACAUGUCUCCAGUGACCCCCUCUUUAUCCAUGACCCAACUGCCUACAGUUAACACUAGUCCAUUCAAACUAAGAUGGAUUGAUUAGAUUAUAGCUCUCAUAAUCAUAUCAUUUUACCUCUGAAUAUUCCUGCAUUAAUAGGAGGCUUAGAGGGACACCUCAUAUUCAAACCAUAACUACCUCUUAUAUGUUCUUACCAAAAUCCUUCAAAUUUUGUGCAAACUGGUUCUUAAAAUGUGAGAUCACUAGAGUUAGAGCAAGAACACUUUUACAAUAACCCUGAAGUUGUCCCUUCAAAACUACUCCAAAUGCAAGAGGUGCUGGCCUGUCUCAGGAGGCGUCUAGCAAUAAACUACUUCUCUAAGCAAAGAUUCAGAAAGUGAUGAAGGAUCUAGCAUAUGUUCAGUCCCACGGCUACAGAUAGGAGGAUUGUGCCAGUAUGUUUUCUGAGAAACAGAGCACUUCUUACUAGAAACAAUAGAGUUGUUCAGGAUUUGUUUCAGAGGUGGCAAAAAUACACAGAAAAUUUCAAGGGACUAUCUCUGAUUUGUAACCAUCACAGAAACUUUCCUAAGAUGAUUAAUCACAAAACUCCAGUGAAAUUAACUAAUGUAAAACCACUUAGGGAGUUCUGUCAUGAAUUAGACUGUACAUAUGCACCACUCAUCACAAAAAUAUGAAAAUCAGCACUACUUUAACCUUUGUCAGAUGCAUUAAUCUAAACCCACCAAAAUCUAUACAAGGGGGCUAGAUGUAUUUACCUAAAUCCUAAGUCUAGACAAGGGAUCAGAUAGUUACAGCCUGCAGUCCCAGUCUGGCCUGCUUUGAGGUUUGAAACUAGAAUGUUAUGGAAAUAGGAGUCAUGUCCAGUCAUUUAUAUUGUCCAUGCUGCUUCUUUGCCUUAACAACAGAAUUGAGUAGUUGGGGCAGCCUGCAAGCAUUAAAAUAAGUACUAUUUGGAAAUAUAUAGAAAAUGUUUGUGAAACCUCUGAGGCAAUCUCUCAAGGAAAAUUCAUUAUCAGAAUGUGAGAAGGAGCAACUGAGUAUGUUAAUAGAAUGGGCAACCAUCCCAAAGGGAGAGGUUGAAUACCCAUAUAUCCUCACUACUGUCAACUUCCUAAAUGUUUGGAGAAAAAAAUUAGUAUUGCCAUGUUAUAUUCCUUAAUAAGGGUCUCUCUAAAUGCUUUUGCACAUAAACUCAAUUUUCAUUUCAUAUUAUCCCCAUUCACCAAUAAUUAUUAUGUAAAAACUAUUACAUUUGGGUUCUGUAACUACGGAGAUGGCAAAAUGUAGAUCCUCGAUGACCUCAGUAGUAAAUACCUACAAAAUAAAUGUUCUAGACACUGUAAAAGAGUACCUUUUGGAUCUAAGCUGGUUGUUGCAGCUGUAGUACCACUGGGUAACUACAGAGGGUAGGGAUAACACAGAGACAGAAACACAACAGGCAAAUUGUCAUAGAAAAAAUGUGGAAAAGAAAAUAAGUCUGAACUUAGCUGAACCUGAAGCUACACAGUUAGUUAGCUAGUGUUUGAAAGGUACUCUGUGUUUCUCAACUGCAAGUGGAGAGCUCAGGCAGGAAACCAUCUUGAGAAGACACACACUGCAGCUUGCUGCUAUUGGAGCCCAGGAGAACAUAACAAAUAUUGCCAUUCUGUCCUGGCCUGUAUCCUAUCAUGUGGCCUAAGGUGUACCUCACAGAACAUGUUUGAAAUAGGCAUCAAGAAGUAAGUACCCAGGGGAUUCAAGUCAGUGACACAAAGGGAAUGCAACUGGCUUUCCUCUUGAGUCUGGUGUAUCACAUGACUAGCUAAAGAAGGUUGGGAAACUGUAAAAAGGAGGCAUGAUUACUCUCAGUGAUGAAGCCUGUGUUUUAGUCAGUGUUGGAUUAUUAUGAUCAAAAGAUAAAUAAACACAGCAUAGAGGAGGACACCUUUAUUUGGGGCUCCAGUUUCAGAGGACACAGUCCAUUGAUGGCCAAGUCCCUUGCUCCUGGCCCAAGGGAAGGCAAAAUAUCAUGUCGGGAGGAGUUGGAAGAGGAAAGCAGCAGAGGGCAUGGGAACAAGGAAGCUGAGAGACCUUUGCUUAUUGGGGACAAAACAUAAGUCCCAAAGACAUACCUCCUCCAGUCACAUGCUGUGUGCCUACAGUUACCACCCAGUUAAUUGAUAACAGUGAAUUCAUUCACUAAUUAGUUUAAGACUCUCAACCCAAACAUUUUACCUCUGAAAAUUCUUGCAUUGUCUCUCAUACAUGAGCUUUGGGGGGAUAAAAUAUAUCCAAAAAUAAGAGCCUUGGAAAGAUGUAUUCAUGGGAAGUAGUUUGUGGGAAACUUGUAAAGGGUUGGCUCCCCUUACCAAAGAGAGUUUUGGUGAGGUUCCUGAGAUCCAGACUCCUAACAGAGAUUGAUACCUGUCCAGCUCUAGAGGUGUGUUAAUCUAGUAUUUCCAAAGAAGACACCACCCAACAAAGUCCCAAGUGGCUUUAUUAGAGCUAAACUCUAACUGUCAGAAUUCCCCAGUUACCAAUUCUGUAGCAGCACCACCCUGGGAGUGGAUUAGUCUGGUCUGUUCAGACAACUCCAAUUGACAGUGCUUACCAUUCUGUCCUACCUUAUGCUGGUACAAAGGAAUGUUGAAAGCUAUUUCAAUCAGCUUCUGUUUUAGCUUACUUCUAUUGGCACCUCGGUGAACAACACAAAAGAGGAAAGAUUCAACAACCUCCAGCUCUCUCUCUCAAUGCAAUACAAAGCCCAAGAAGAAAUAAAAAGAAAGACAGUUGGACAUAGGCAGAGAUCAUCCAUCCUCAAAAUAUUUGACAAUUCUUUCAUUAUUCAUUAAGAAAUUUUGCUCUUAGUUUUUUUUUUUGUUGUUGUUUGUUGUUUGUUUGCUUGCUUGCUUGCUUGCUUCUUUGCAUUUUGGUGGGUAGGAUUAUUUUUAUUGUGCUGGCUCUAUUUUCCAGGAGUGUUUCUCAUUUUUAUCUUCCAUCCUGGUGUCCCUUUCCAGGUACAUUUUUCUCCUCUGAGAAUUCAGUUUUACA
rnacentral:lncRNA from 1 species